rnacentral:pre_miRNA from 1 species
AUUUUUUUAGGUUUUGAUUUUUAUGGCGUGCUCACGCGAAAAUCAAAACCUAAAGAAAACG